rnacentral:tRNA from 1 species
GCGGCCAUAGCUCAGCUGGGAGAGCACCUGCCUUGCAAGCAGGAGGUCAGCGGUUCGAUCCCGGUUCGAAGCU